AUAGAAUUUAUCAGAAAAUAGAUGGAAGUUCCUCCACGCUACACUUUGACAACGCAACAAUUUUGGACAUAGGGAAAUACUAUUGUCGUGCUCAUAAUUCAAGCAAGGAAUUUUUCGACUUCAAAGUUGAUGGAAAUCCAAUGAUUACAUCAAUCACAAAUUCAUCAUGUAGCCGAAGUUUGUUCGUUACCUGGAAUCCAAGCAGAUAUGCAGUUGGCUUUCGACACAAAAUUACAGCAAAUAAUUAUAUUACCGAAGAAGAAAGCUUUUCAACAUUCAUUAUUCCUAAAUCAAACACAUCAGUGAUCAGUGAGAUUUCAGGAUUAAAGACAACUACUGAAUAUAAUGUAAC